rnacentral:tRNA from 1 species
GGGAUCGAGGUGUUAGCGGCAGCAUACCCGGCUCUUAACCGGGUUGGUGAGGGUUCGAGUCCCUCCGGUCCCA